UUUUUCAACUUCCAGGAGAAAUAAUUGUAUUUAUUUUAUGAGCACAAUCAAUUUAUAGAAAAGGAGAGUAACUAUAAAUAAAUAUAUAAAAAAAAAGAAAAAAAGAUGAGUAGGACAUGGUACUAUAAUCACCCAUAACUAAAUACAAAAGACUAAACCAUAAGAGAGAAUAACAAAUAACCGUCCAAACAUACAAAGAAGACUCUGAUUAAGAUUUAAGUUCACAUAUAAUAAUAAUCUGCUGCUGUGCAUUCUUAACUCAAUUUCUUACAUCUUAGAGAGGAGGUCGAACUGGCCUUGGAGGAUGUAUAUGUGGUGUUCCUAAAAUGGGAAUGUCAGGUGGGUAUAAAGGAUAUUGCUUGCUUUGUCUUGGUCGCAGUUGGUAGGGCCCACCCAGUGAACCGUAAUUGAAACCAGCCUGUUUUUGUUGAUCGGUUGGAGGGGGUGGCGGUGGCGGAUAAUUCAUCAAUCCAUUCCGUCGUGCAGACUUGUGUAUUUGAUGAUUUGGAUUUCCUUCAAUAUUGGUGAGAGCCAGAAACAUAACUAGCAAGGAUAAAUAACACAUAUUUCCAACCCUUGUUAUUUCUGAUCAACGAUAUCACACGAAUAAUUAGUGUAUAUCAACACCUUUAGAGGUUAAGAGUAUGUAUGUAUUCUUGGAUAUGGUUGGUUAUAUAUAUGCGACAUCUUUCUGAAAAUUAAGGUUUGUACGUAGAAAAAAAAUGUAUUUGAUAAAAGUCAAGCAAAUAAAAC
rnacentral:lncRNA from 1 species